rnacentral:snRNA from 1 species
GGAUGUGAGGGCGAUCUGGCUGCGACAUCCGUCACCCCAUUGAUCGCCAGGGUUGAUUCGGCUGAUCUGGCUGGCUAGGCGGGUGUCCCCUUCCUCCCUCACCGCUCCAUGUGCGUCCCUCCCGAAGCUGCGCGCUCGGUCGAAGAGGACGACCAUCCCCGAUAGGGGAGGACCGUUCUUCGGUCAAGGGAACACGAGUAGCUGCGCUCCCCUGCUAGAACCUCCAAACAAGCUCUCAAAGAACUCCCGGGAAGUCUUCACUUAGGAACGAGGGAAGGGACACCUUGGCUUGCUCAACUAACUAUAGAGAAAGCCUAGCCCUCCUUC